rnacentral:rRNA from 1 species
UACACUCCUACGGGAGGCAGCAGUGGGGAAUAUUGGACAAUGGGCGCAAGCCUGAUCCAGCCAUGCCGCGUGAGUGAUGAAGGCCCUAGGGUUGUAAAGCUCUUUCACCGGUGAAGAUAAUGACGGUAACCGGAGAAGAAGCCCCGGCUAACUUCGUGCCAGCAGCCGCGGUAAUACGAAGGGGGCUAGCGUUGUUCGGAUUUACUGGGCGUAAAGCGCACGUAGGCGGACUAUUAAGUCAGGGGUGAAAUCCCGGGGCUCAACCCCGGAACUGCCUUUGAUACUGGUAGUCUUGAGUUCGAGAGAGGUGAGUGGAAUUCCGAGUGUAGAGGUGAAAUUCGUAGAUAUUCGGAGGAACACCAGUGGCGAAGGCGGCUCACUGGCUCGAUACUGACGCUGAGGUGCGAAAGCGUGGGGAGCAAACAGGAUUAGAUACCCUUGUAGUCCCAUGA